CGGCUCACCUAGGCGACAAUCCCUAGCUGGUCUGAGAGGAUGACCAGCCACACUGGAACUGAGACACGGUCCAGACUCCUACGGGAGGCAGCAUG
rnacentral:rRNA from 1 species